UACGGAGGGUGCAAGCGUUGUCCGGAUUUAUUGGGUUUAAAGGGUGCGUAGGUGGUCUAUUAAGUCAGUGGUGAAAUCCAACAGCUUAACUGUUGAACUGCCAUUGAUACUGGUAGACUUGAGUAUUGUUGAGGCAGGCGGAAUUUAUGGUGUAGCGGUGAAAUGCAUAGAUACCAUAAAGAACACCGAUAGCGAAGGCAGCUUGCUUAGCAGUAACUGACACUGAGGCACGAAAGCGUGGGUAGCGAACAGG
rnacentral:rRNA from 1 species